rnacentral:lncRNA from 1 species
UAUUGUUGUUACAUGCAGUCUCUAAUCCAAUACCUUUGCUCUUCUGGCAGUCCAGUCUGUGUGUGUGUGUGUGCUCAAAAACCCCUCAGUCUUCACACACAGUCUGCGGCUCGGACAGAGAGGGGUGUGUGUGUGCUUAGUAUGGUGACAGAGAGGGGUGUGUGUGUGCUUAGUAUGGUGACAGACAGGACCAUGAAUCUUUGUGUUUCUGAGUAUGCGUGAGUAAAGUGAUGGUUCUCCUCCAGCUGCAGACACACAGAGCAGAACUGGUACCUGGGCUCUGACUGUAGCUACCCCGUGCACAAGGUUGGGUUCUACGCCGGCCUAGGGGCGUGUGCUGCUCUUCUGGUGGCCUCAGUCGGCGUGCUGUCUGCUUGCGUCAUACUGAAGCACAGGAAGCAGAAUCGGGAGAAUGACAUGAAGAAUGAGCUGGUGAAUCAGUGGAUGGAGGAUGACUUUGAGUGGCUGAUUAAUCUAAAUGUGUUUGUAUUCCUCUCUAUAGGGGCGAAUGCCAACCCUGCCUAUCAGAGUGGGAGUUUGUACACGCAGCAGGGACUGGGUCUACCAGGCCUCCAGUCUAGGCCAGCACCGGGCCAGAUGAGGGCCAGAACCGACCCACACUGGGCUUCUCUACAGCAGGGGCCCUCACACAGAACCGACCCACACUGGGCUCCCCUACAGCAGGGGCCCUCACACAGAACCGACCCACACUGGGCUCCCCUACAGCAGGGGCCCUCACACAGAACCGACCCACACUGGACUUCCCUCCGGACCCCCUCUAUUAGCUCUUUUGACAUUUAGCGUCUCUAGCUAACGGAUCUGCUAUGUCACAAUUAAUGGAUCAAUGGCAAUAUCUCACCCAUGUCAACAACUCUUCAACACUGCUGUUUGCCAAAGAACAAAUUGAUUAUUAGACAGUUAAUCAUAUUAUUAAAACCACAUCAGUUCUUUACUGAUUGCUGGUCAUGAUGAUACGCUGCUGUACUUGUAAAUGUGUGAUGAACAGUUACUUACUCAAUAUACAUAUAUGAUAUAAUAUCAAUUUACUAAAUACUACAAUAUAUGAUAUAAUAUCAAUUUACUAAAUACUACAAUAUAGAAUACUGAAGUAUACUGAAACUGCAGGUUAUCUAAUCGUAGAAACCCUCGGCCACAUAAAGUAUUUAUUUAUAUAGCCAUUCAGGGUCAUUUCCCCUUUUAUUUAUCAAUGAGUCGCCUGUGGCUUAUGUUGUUGACUUUUGUGUUUAUUUUUAAAUUUAACUUAAUGUAUGUUAUGUCUGAUGCUAUAUAAUGUAUUAGGACUUGUAUUAUUGAGGAUCACCUGCUUAAAUAAAAAUGCAUCAUCUAAGAAUCUGCA